UCUUUACCCAUUAAUUUAAGGGUUUCCCGAUCUGUGAACACUUUAAUCUUAACACCUGCCCACCAAUCAAUUAACCAAACAAGCUCCAACCACAACAGUUCUGCCACCAAUCUAUUAAUCCUUCUGUACCCAUUCUUUGUUAGCGGCCUUAUAAAGACAAAGCAUAUUGCCUGAAUGAGAUUAACGACGAGGCCAGAGAAGAAGAAGAGAACGCCCAAUGGUAGGAUCACCAGGGCCGCUGGAAUCGCCAUAACCACAAGCAGGCAAGCUCCACCACCACUUG
rnacentral:misc_RNA from 1 species